rnacentral:rRNA from 1 species
GACGAACGCUGGCGGCGUGCUUAACACAUGCAAGUCGAACGGUGAAGGGGUCUGCUUUUGUGGGCCCUGGAUGAGUGGCGAACGGGUGAGUAACACGUGAGUAACCUGCCCCCUUCUUCUGGAUAACCGCAUGAAAGUGUGGCUAAUACGGGAUAUUCUGGGUCUGUCGCAUGAUGGGUCUGGGAAAGAUUGCGCCUUUGGGUGUUUUUGGUGGGGGAUGGGCUCGCGGCCUAUCAGCUUGUUGGUGGGGUGAUGGCCUACCAAGGCGGUGACGGGUAGCCGGCCUGAGAGGGCGGACGGUCACACUGGGACUGAGACACGGCCCAGACUCCUACGGGAGGCAGCAGUGGGGAAUAUUGCACAAUGGGCGCAAGCCUGAUGCAGCGACGCCGCGUGAGGGAUGGAGGCCUUCGGGGUGUAAACCUCUUUCGCCAGUGAAGCAGGCCUGCUCCUUGUGGGUGGGUUGACGGUAGCUGGAUAAGAAGCGCCGGCUAACUACGUG